rnacentral:rRNA from 1 species
UACGUAGGGGGCUAGCGUUGUCCGGAUUUAUUGGGCGUAAAGAGCGUGUAGGCGGCCAGGUAGGUCUGCUGUGAAAACUCGAGGCUUAACCUCGAGAUGUCGGCGGAAACCAUCUGGCUAGAGUCCGGAAGAGGAGAGUGGAAUUCCUGGUGUAGCGGUGAAAUGCGCAGAUAUCAGGAGGAACACCUGUGGUGUAGACAGCUUACUGGACCACGACUGACGCUGAGACACGAAAGCGUGGGUAGCAAACAGG